AUUGAACGCUGGCGGCAGGCCUAACACAUGCAAGUCGAACGAGUGGCGGACGGGUGAGUAAUGUCUGGGAAACUGCCCGAUGGAGGGGGAUAACUACUGGAAACGGUAGCUAAUACCGCAUACCAGCGGCUGUGCCCAGAUGGGAUUAGCUAGUAGGUGGGGUAAUGGCUCACCUAGGCGACGAUCCCUAGCUGGUCUGAGAGGAUGACCAGCCAACCUGGAACUGAUACACGGUCCAUACUCCUACGGGAUGCAGCAGUGGGUAAUAUUGCACAAUGGGCGCAAGCCUGAUGCAGCCAUGCCGCGUGUGUGAAGAAGGCCUUCGGGUUGUAAAGCACUUUCAGCGGGGAGGCGUUACCCGCAGAAGAAGCACCGGCUAACUCCGUGCCAGCAGCCGCGGUAAUAC
rnacentral:rRNA from 1 species